GAACCCUCAUCCAAUGGGUAAGCAUGAACCAGGUCAGGUCUUAGCGGAAGCAGCCUUAAGUGUUUUUAUUCAUGUGGGUGAGGGGCCUUA
rnacentral:SRP_RNA from 1 species